GACAGACAGACAGACACGUCAAACUUAUAACACCCCUUCGUUUUUGCGUCGGGGGUUAAAAAUAGUUCUAAUGAAAUUCCGCAACAUGGCUGUAGGCAUAUAUUUCUGGUCAGACUCACACUUGACUGGUUACUUUGUGAAUCAGAAAACCACUUUUAACUAAUUAUGAGUAUUAUGAUUAUGACGCACUGACUGAUAAAUAAUGAACCUCCAGCAUGAAGUGUAAUUUACCAAAAGACUAUUUUAGGUUGUUGUCAACUUGUUUUACUGUCACAAAUACUAAUAAGAAAAGUCGUAAUAAUGAAUUGUUUGAUAAAAUUGUGACAUGGUCAGUGACUGUCACAAUUUAACAUAGGGAAACUUUUUAACUGUUGAAUCAUUCCUUUGGUCUUCCUAUAAUGGGUGUGUAAAGGAUGCUUGGUCGUAUGUUGAUAUUUAUUGUGUCCUUAAGGUUAAAUUUUAUCGCCAGCGUGAAUGUGAGAUCUUGUUCGUAAUCGACUUUACGGGUAACGACCUAACUACCAAUAUGUUACAUAAAUGUAAUUCUCAAAUAAGUUGCUAUCGAACUUAAAAGCUUCACGGUGCUUGCGUAACGACGCUUUCACAGACUAUUCGUAGAGUUCUACAUUAAAAAAAAACUAGUCUACAGUAAGCGGCUAGGACAUUUGACACAAAUAAUUUACUAAUUUCCAUUUUGAAUAUGUUGCGUUAACCCACCUUAUACUUGCCAUAAUCUCAAAUAGCUUUGAAUAAAUAUGAAUCUCUUAAGUGCCAUUAUUAUUGCAUUUAAUUUAUUCUAAUCUCACGCCCUUAAUAAACAUGACAAAUCGUUACAUAGUAUUA